rnacentral:rRNA from 1 species
UACAGAGCUCUUCUCUCAAGCUGUGAUCUUGUCAGAUCUCAUAAGCCAAACAAGGUUGGAGCUCAGUAUGUACCUGGAUAAGACAUUUAUUAGGAGAAACUGAAGGAUUUCUGGGA